rnacentral:rRNA from 1 species
GUAGGGAAUAUUGGGCAAUGGAUGCAAGUCUGACCCAGCCAUCCCGCGUGCCGGAAGAAGGCCCUCAGGGUUGUAAACGGCUUUUGACGGUGAAGAAUCGACAGGAUGCGUCCUGUUUUGACGGUAGCCGUUGAAUAAGCACCGGCUAACUCCGUGCCACCAGCCGCGGUAAUACGGAGGGUGCGAGCGGUGUCCGGAUUUAUUGGGUUUAAAGGGUGCGUAGGCUGGAAGGUCAGUCAGCGGUGAAAAGCUGUCGCUUAACGAUAGUCUUGCCGCAGAUACUUCCUUUCUUGGAUGAGGAGGAGGCCACUGGAACGGAUGGUGUAGCGGUGAAAUGCAUAGAUAUCAUCCAGAACACCGAUUGCGAAGGCAGGUGGCUGUACCUUAAUCGACGCUGAUGCACGAAAGCAUGGGGAGCAAACAGGAUUAGAUACCCUUGUAGUCC